GGCCAUCGUGGCCGAGUAGUAACGUUCGCGAUUUUGAUUCGUCAGGAUGUGGGUUCGAGGCCCACCGUGGUCU